rnacentral:rRNA from 1 species
AGUGAACGCUGGCGGUAGGCCUAACACAUGCAAGUCGAACGGCAGCACAGUAAGAGCUUGCUCUUACGGGUGGCGAGUGGCGGACGGGUGAGGAAUACAUCGGAAUCUACUUUUUCGUGGGGGAUAACGUAGGGAAACUUACGCUAAUACCGCAUACGACCUACGGGUGAAAGCAGGGGAUCUUCGGACCUUGCGCGAUUGAACGAGCCGAUGUCGGAUUAGCUAGUUGGCGGGGUAAAGGCCCACCAAGGCGACGAUCCGUAGCUGGUCUGAGAGGAUGAUCAGCCACACUGGAACUGAGACACGGUCCAGACUCCUACGGGAGGCAGCAGUGGGGAAUAUUGGACAAUGGGCGCAAGCCUGAUCCAGCCAUACCGCGUGGGUGAAGAAGGCCUUCGGGGUGUAAAGCCCUUUUGUUGGGAAAGAAAAGCAGCAGGUUAAUACCCCGCUGUUCUGACGGUACCCAAAGAAUAAGCACCGGCUAACUUCGUG